UACGGAGGGUGCAAGCGUUAUCCGGAUUUACUGGGCUUAAAGGGUGCGUAGGUGGAUUGGUGAGUCAGUGGUGAAAUACUUUCGCUUAACGAAGGAACUGCCAUUGAUACUACCAGUCUUGAAUACAGUGGAGGUGGGCGGAAUGCGUCAUGUAGCGGUGAAAUGCUUAGAUAUGACGCAGAACACCAAUUGCGAAGGCAGCUUGCUACACUGUUAUUGACACUGAGGCACGAAAGCGUGGGGAUCAAACAGG
rnacentral:rRNA from 1 species